GGGGUGCCUGAGGAGAAAGGGGUGCUGGUUCUUCCUUAUAUCCCCUGCCUGCCUCAGCUGGGCUCUGACCCAGCCAGCAGACUGGAGUCCUCUUCUGCAUGGUAAGGAAACUGAGGCUUAGAGGAGUUAUGAAAUUGCCCAAGGUUUCACAGCUGAAAUGUAUAAGGACCUGGACUUGCAAAUUUGGCACAAAGUUCUUCUAAUAAGAGGCCAUAAAAUAACCAAAUGAUUUUUUAUGUGCCUAUAGAACCAAAAGAACUAUUUCAGAAUGUCAGCUGAAAAGCACGAUAUUCCAGAUAGUAGAGGAUGGAGGCCGAAGCCACAACAGUGACAGAUGUUCCAGAAGAUCAGCUUAUAUAAUGAGAAUUUGGGCCAAAUCUGUUGAAAGUGGUGUUUUUUAAAAAAACACACUGACUUCAAAGAAAUGAGUUGUGGCAUCUGUAACAUCUACAGGAGCAGUGCCAGUGGAGGCUAGCGGGUCUGCAGAGGAGCAGCUCAAGUCAUGCGAUUACUGGAGCUUGCAGCAAAAUGACUGGAACAACAUCUGGGCUGCAGCAAGCUGGCCAGGACAUUUUAAAAGAGCUCCUGUGGUGCCUCCAACUUUGAUUUUACAGAGCUGCGGGGAAAGAAACAGGCUGUGUUCAAGAGCUCAUGUGUUUUGCCUCACAUGUUUUGUCCUUGCUCACUGUGAAGGGCCUCACUCAGCUGGGGACCCUGAGGGACACUCUUGGGCAGUCAUUCUCUGUCUACUCUGCUAGCUCU
rnacentral:lncRNA from 10 species